GAUGAACGCUAGCGGCAGGCUUAAUACAUGCAAGUCGAGGGGCAGCAGGUCUGUAGCAAUACAGAUGCUGGCGACCGGCAAACGGGUGCGGAACACGUACAGAACCUUCCUUUAAGCGGGGGAUAGCCCAGAGAAAUUUGGAUUAAUACCCCAUAGUAUUAUUGAGUGGCAUCACUUAAUGAUUAAAGAUUUAUCACUUA
rnacentral:rRNA from 1 species